GACGAACGCUGGCGGCGUGCCUAACACAUGUCNAGUCGAACGAGGUCCAUGCAGUGGCAACACUGCGGAAGACCUAGUGGCGAACGGGUGAGUAACACGUGAGGAACUUGCCCCGGAGACCGGGAUAAGCCCCCGAAAGGGGGUCUAAUACCGGAUGUCCUCACCGAGUCGCAUGGCUUGGUGAGGAAAUGGAUUCCGCUCCGGGAGAGCCUCGCGGCCUAUCAGCUAGUUGGUGGGGUAACGGCCCACCAAGGCGUCGACGGGUAGCUGGUCUGAGAGGACGAUCAGCCACACUGGGACUGAGACACGGCCCAGACUCCUACGGGAGGCAGCAGUGGGGAAUCUUGCGCAAUGGGCGAAAGCCUGACGCAGCAACGCCGCGUGCGGGAUGACGGCCCUCGGGUUGUAAACCGCUUUCAGUGGGGACGAACCAAGACGGUACCCACAGAA
rnacentral:rRNA from 1 species